UUAAAGGUAGACUAAUUUAAGUUAUUAGACUCAUAAUCUAAAGAUAAUUUUUAAUAAUUUCUUUAAA
rnacentral:tRNA from 1 species